AGAUCAUCAUUGGGCGUAAAGUGUGCGCAGGCGGUUUUGUAAGACAGAGGUGAAAUCCCCGGGCUCAACCUGGGAACUGCCUUUGUGACUGCAAGGCUGGAGUGCGGCAGAGGGGGAUGGAAUUCCGCGUGUAGCAGUGAAAUGCGUAGAUAUGCGGAGGAACACCGAUGGCGAAGGCAAUCCCCCUGGGCCUGCACUGACGCUCAUGCACGAAAGCGUAGGGGAGCAAACA
rnacentral:rRNA from 1 species